AGGGUGAAGAACAGCAGGUUCACAGUACCCCUCCUCACUUUGGCAAGUGCAACAACGGGCUACAGAAUGGCUCCUUUUGUUUUUGGUCUUUGGAGAAAAUCUUAGGUUUCUGUUUGUUUGUUUGUUUUUGUUUUUCCAGCAAGAGAGAGUAGAAGCUCUUUCAUUAUUUAUUUGUUUGUUUGUUUACUGAGACUUCUUUAGGAGCAGCUCAAAGGUGUGAUGGAGUGAGAUGCUGGCUCAGAGAUAUUCCUCUCUUCCCUCCCCCAUAAUACACAGUUCUCACUGGAUUUUCAUCAUUCUCUCCUGAGAUGACCUGGUCUUAUGGCCCCAGGCUGGCCUCGGAUUCACUUUGUGGCUGAUAAUGACUUUGAAUUUCUGAUUCUCUUGCCUCCAUUUCCCAAGAGCCCAGAUUACAGACUUGUGCUUCCUUACCUACAGCCUUGAGCACAUUAGGCAAGCAUUCUACCAAAUGAGCUCCGUCUUCAGCCCUAUGAGGAGGUCGCUCGUUAGUGUGUGUGCCUAAGUCGAAAGUGGAGAAUGGGGAGCUGGCCUUCAUUCUUGCUGCACCUUAUCCUGCAUCUUCCAGUGGCCAGCAUAGCUUCUCCACGGUUAUCCUUACUCUCCCAGCUAGCCAUAUUUUUUCCAGUCUCUCGGGUGGCCAUCUUUUAUUAUUCUUGUUUUAUUCCUCUCUUUCUCACCACCACAAGCUCUUAUUAUCCAUGGCCAAUUUGUGUGUAUGUAUGUGUGAAUUUACUUCAAAUCUGGUGUUUGUUUGACUCACGAGCUGGAGAUCACGAUGCCUUCUUUACAAGAUUGUCAUAAGACAUAGUGAUAUUUUGUGAAAGAUACAGGGCGUGUGCUAAGUGUUUGGUUAGUAAUGACUGACUUCUUUGUUUAUAUAGUUUUCGGCCACGGUGAGAUACUAGCUCAGAGUUUCUCAGGUGGGUGUGGAAACUAGAGCACUUCCCAUGACCUUCUUAGAGUUGGCUGGUGAGUUAUGAGUGCCUUCUACGACACUACAAUACUCUCUGUGCCCGGGAAAUACUGCAAGCUGGAGAUUUCAUCCCUGGCAUCCUAUAUAAUGGAUUUUAUGACAAAGAUUUUUUUUUUUUUUAUUACGGAUUGCUGAACCUUUGAUUUACUUUUAAAGAAGUGUUGUCUUCUUUUUAUGUAUGUGCACGUGUGUCUGUGUAAGUUCUGUCACAUGUGGAAGGGUGCCAUGGAGGUCAGCAUCAGGUCUCCUGAAACAGGAGUUACAAGUGGUUAUGAGCUGCCUGAUGUGGGUGCUGGGAACACAAGUCUAGUCCUCUGGAAGAACAGAAGGUGCUCUUGCUGCUAAGCUGUCUCUCUAGCUCCCUGUUGAAUUUGUUUCUAGUGAACCUAACACAGGGGCAGAAGUACCUGUCUCCUUUCUGUUCUCCUAUUCCAAGAGUUCAGUCUGGUGGCAAGGAUGAGAGAAAGGCAGUGUGUCUGUCACGUAAAAUUUUGCAUUGCCAUGAAUAUUGAAGAAUGGUACUAGGUCUGUGACUAUGACUACACAGCCAUGCAAAUGCUGACUCAGGUUCCAUUUUUAAGACUUGUCAUAUGCCCAAGGAAAUACGCUGGUUCCCAGCCCUUAUUACUUCCUUCUUCUCAUCCUCUUCCUCUUCCUGGUAGUGGUGAGGCUUGAAUCUGAGGCUCAUACAUGUGUGCUAAACAUAUGCUCUGCCCUUCAGCUACACUCCAGUGCUCUCACCUUCUUAAUGAUACAGCAGGAGAGAAAUUUCUUAGAGCAACAGCAUUUUUUUUUUCUUUUAGCAACAGCAUUUUUAAAACAAGCUCUUCAUUGAAGCAUGCCUAAAACCAUUUUGUACCGAUACUGAUACUGAAAUUUGAAACCAAUACCCAUGUACUAAAAACAACAUUAUGUUAAUGCUACCAUCAGCACGACUUCCGAUAUUAUUAGAUGUCAGGCAAUAUUGAUGCUGCUAUUCCCGAAUCUCCUGUUUAUUAAGCACAUGCCAGGCCCGCUGUCAAGAGCUUUGUGUGGCAUACCCUGUCUAGUCCUUAUAAGAAUUCUUUGAUGACAAAAGGCAAGUGCUUAUUAUAUAUCAGGUACUGCAUAGCCAUUUCCUUAAAGUCUUGCAAUAAAAGAAUUGAGGGGCUGGAGAGCUGGCUAAGCAGUUAAGAGCAUAGUCUGCUCUUCCAGAGGACCAAGGUUCAAUUCCUAGGCACCCACAUAGCAGCUCAGAUCUGUCUGUAACUCCAGUUCCAAAAGAUCUAAUGCCCCUACACAGGUAUGCAUGCAGGGAAAAUGUCAAUGAACACAAAAUAAAAGUAAAUAAAUAAAUCAUUUUUUAAAAGGGAGAGAGUUGAUAUAGGUGCAAUUCCCAUGGAUGAGUAUCAGAGAGGCCAAGUAACUUGGCCAGCUCCACACAGUUGAAUAUGUGUAGAGCAAAGGUUUAAAGUGUCCCCUGACACACACACACA